rnacentral:tRNA from 1 species
AGUCCCGAGGUGUUUGUCAUGUUAGAUUGCAAAUCUUAAGGAGCAGACUAGUCGUCUGCCGGGGCUU